rnacentral:tRNA from 1 species
GUCCUUGCGGUGUUGUGGUUAACACGACUGACUUUGAAUCAGAAUAUCCCGGGUUCGAUUCCCGACGGGGACA